UAUUUAGCUAUAACUGGAGAUAAACUUAAUGGUGUGGAAAUGAUUUCCUGUGGCUUGGCCACACACUACGCACUGAAUGAUUUCAAUGCUUUUAGAUUGUUUUGCUUCCUCAUCGAAUAUUGACUUUAUGUCCUUGAAGAGAGACUUCCAAUGUUGGAGGAACGACUUGGUAAAUUGGUCACAGAUGAUGCAUUUCUUAUAGAGAAAGCUCUUGCACAAUACGGUGAUAUUGUUUAUCCAGACAAGAGGAGUAUUAUUUGGAAGUAAUUCUCAGAUUUUUGUAAUGAUUAAUAUAUUGCAAGUACAUUGGCUAGCACUAUCUGUAUUGAUUAUGUUGUGCUUGUACAUAUAUUGCUGCUGUAUUAGGAUUGGGGCGAUCGAUAAAUGCCUUUGCCAUGAAACCAUCAAAGAGAUCAUCCAUGCACUGGUGAGUUGACCAAUUUGCCUACAUCAAAACCUUUCGCCAUGAUUCUUUUUCUGUAAGUAGCAAAGAUGUAGAGGACACUGGGUAAAGAUGCAAGGUAGUUCAUGAAAGUAAUGUCUUGAUGUUGUUCCUCAAGUUUUUAUUCAUCUUUCAUCUCUGCUCAAGAAAGUGAGGCUGCUGAUUCUUACGAUGAGGGGUAAAAAACGACCCUCAAGAAACUGAGAGAAGCUUCUCCACUGAGCUUGAAAGUUACCUGAAGAUCCAUUCGUGAAGGGAGGUUCGAGACCCCUGACCGGUGUUUGGCUCGUGAAUAUAGAAUAUCACUUGGCUCUGCCUCUCAAUAGGUUUCUAAGGACUUCUCUGAGGGAGUUGGAGCAUGGCCAGUGGACAAGGAUUUCGCACCAAAGUGGGCAUCCGAGUUUGGGAGAAGUGACAGAAGAGAUGGUUGAUUUCUAUUUCUGCCCACAGCUCUUCGAGAGCCAUCUGUUUGAGAUAGAAUAAAAUUUGAUGGAUGUUAGUAUGAUAUCCUAAUAGAUGCCCUCUUGCAGGACCUGUCAAUUAAGAUGGAGAUUGGUUUCAGUGAGUAGGAGGGAGGCUUCCACCCAGCCUGUCACCGUCUCUUUCUGCUUUGGAUGUUUCACAUGCAAAAUAAGUAGUUACAUUAGGUUCGGGUCGCAGUUUUAACCAAACCAUAUUGCUAGUUGGCGUGAGCAAAUGUAGCUAUUGUUGCCUGUCUUGGAUAUUCGUACAAGAGGUUCCCCUGAUAUUCUGGGGGAUGUGUGUAUAUUGACAGUAAAGAUAAAAGUUCGGGUCAGUGGAAGCAUUGGAUGCUUGUUUGUUGCUGAUGUACAAAAAUUGGAACCCAUUUUUACCUAGUUAUUUAACAGGCCUAAGAUGGUUUUCUGGCUCGUGCAAAGUCCGAGAGAUCUUUACCAGAACAGAGCGACAGAUGAACACAAGGGUGAAGGCACUGACUUCGAUCUAUCAAACUAAGUCAACACUGUUGGUGGAUCUAUCCUACAAUUGCCUGUUUCAAAUAUUCCACAUCGUAAUCGUGUGUCUCAGAAUUCGCACUGCAAGUUUGAGGAUGGACAUUGCAGAAACCUCAGCCAGAAGAUGCUUUCUAGGAAUCCAUAGAUCCCCAGAAUACAAUAUUAAGUUUACCAAAACAGUAAAAUAUUUCGCCAAGAAAAUGUCUCCAGCUAGCAUUCAACAACUGUCUGGAAUCGGAUGAGUAGUAGAAAAUAUUGAGAUCAUCAGCAUCGACGGAGUUGGCACUGCCAUCGGUCACCUUCAACUUCAGUGUUACUUCAAAGGAUGGAAAGAUUGCAGCGUUUGACUCUUUACGCUCUCCGAUAAUUCUAUGCACUCCAAAUUGUUCAAACU